rnacentral:lncRNA from 1 species
UUCUGUGUGGAGCCAGGAGUUGAACUCAAUGAUCCUUGAAGGCCCUUUCCAACUCAGGAUAUUCUGUUUCUUUGCUUCUCUGACCCACUGCUAGACACAGCUAACAGCACUGUUUUGCAGGCUCUCUUGUGCCUCAUCAUCAGUGCAUCUUUCACAACAUGAAGGCAUCAGAUUUACUCAUCUAUCUGCUUUUCCCCAGUGGCUGCAGUUCUUCAAUAGCUACAAUUUCUUUAGCUGCAAUCUGAACCUAUGCAGUUAGUGACAUGAUAGGGGCGUCAUUUAUUUAUUACAGCUUUGGGGAAAUCUCUACAGACUGACAGCAGAAAGAAUGAGCAUAGAGAAAUAACUUGCAGACACCAGGAGCUUAUUUUAAAAUCCCAAAACACAGCACAGAUUGUGUUACCCAGAUCACAAAGGAUCAGCUAGUGGAGAAGAAUGUGCCCUGCCAUGAGCAAUCUCAUCAUCUCUAAAGGAAUCCUCCACAGAUUUCAGUGGCUUCCCAAGGGGACAAAGCCAAACAAAUAACUUCAACACAUGCAAAGGACUUCAUUGCUUUAUAAACUUUGGCUACGUUGGAAGAACAAGGGUUAAUCUUUCCAUCAUUGCACCAUCUGUCUCAGAUGAAAAGCUAUUAAAAAAUUAAACCUACCU